GAAAGAAGCGUCUGCGCUGGCAAGCUCUCCCGGCAGCGCCGAGAGCCAGAGCUGCGGUGCUGCUGCGCCGAUGCUCCGUACGUUCGCAGUAGCGGGUAGAGCGGAAGGCUCUGUGGCCAGGGAAGAGCGGCACGGACACGUUCCUGCUCGCUCCGUUGCACCGGAAUUUCGACGGCUGGGUUCGGCCGCUAAAUUGAUGGCGCUACCGGAAGAAAUUUCAGAAAAAAAGGGUGGCUUUUUCGUCGAUCUCUUUGUGAGAGUAUCAAAUCAGGCGGCGGUAAAUACGUAGAAGCAGCUGGGCGUACUACGGCGUGUACCGGACAGCGUUGGCGUGCCGCUCUGCUAGCAGCGGAGAGCCAGAUGAGGAUG